rnacentral:rRNA from 1 species
UACGGGGGGAGCAAGCGUUGUUCGGAUUUACUGGGCGUAAAGGGCGCGUAGGCGGUCGUGACAAGUCACUUGUGAAAUCUCCGGGCGUAACUCGGAAAGGUCAAGUGAUACUGUCGGACUAGAGUACAGAAGGGGCAACUGGAAUUCCAGGUGUAGCGGUGAAAUGCGUAGAUAUCUGGAGGAACACCGGUGGCGAAGGCGGCAUCCUGGACCGGUAUUGACGCUGAGGCGCGAAAGCGUGGGGAGCGAGUCCGG